UACGUAGGUGGCGAGCGUUACUCGGAAUUACUAGGCGUAAAGCGCGUGUAGGCGGGGGCUUAAGUCCGCUGUGAAAUCCCGCGGCUCAACCGCGGGCGGGCGGCGGAUACUGGGUCUCUUGGGUUCGGCAGAGGCAGCUGGAAUUCCGGGUGUAGCAGUGAAAUGCGCAGAUAUCCGGAGGAACGCCAAAGGCGAAAGCAGGCUGCUGGGCCGCAACCGACGCUGAGACGCGAAAGCCGGGGGAGCGAAC
rnacentral:rRNA from 1 species